UGGGGAAUCUUGCACAAUGGGCGAAAGCCUGAUGCAGCAACGCCGCGUGCGGGAAGACAGCCCUAGGGUUGUAAACCGCUUUCAGCAGGGAAGAAACUGACGGUACCUGCAGAAGAAGAUGCGGCCAACUACGUGCCAGCAGCCGCGGUGACACGUAGGCAUCAAGCGUUAUCCGGAUUUAUUGGGCGUAAAGAGCUCGUAGGCGGUUCGGUAAGUCGGGUGUGAAAACUCUGGGCUCAACCCAGAGAGGCCACUCGAUACUGCUGUGACUAGAGUGCGGUAGGGGAGCGGGGAAUUCCUGGUGUAGCGGUGAAAUGCGCAGAUAUCAGGAGGAACACCAGUGGCGAAGGCGCCGCUCUGGGCCGUAACUGACGCUGAGGAGCGAAAGCAUGGGUAGCAAACAGGAUUAGAUACCCUGGUAGUCCAUGCCGUAAACGUUGGGCACUAGGUGUGGGUCUCAACCGAACGAGAUCCGCGCCGUCGCUAACGCAUUAAGUGCUCCGCCUGGGAGUACGGUCGCAAGGCUGAAACUCAA
rnacentral:rRNA from 1 species